rnacentral:sRNA from 1 species
CUCAUACGAGUUAACAAGCCCGUUGCUGCGUAUCCCAACCACAGUUACACGGCCGAGUGUGGACAAAGAGUAUGGAUGCAUCAUGCCGUUCUAUUUUAACGCCUUGUAACCCAAGGAAACUUGAAGCUUUGCCCAACCCGCGGUCAUCCUCGCUCACUUGCAUGCUACGUAUGGUAGUGCCCUGGGCUGCCCCUUGCAUUGGUUGACAUUACUCCAUGCCUGGCCAGGGGAACGAGAUUGCCUAUAUUCAAGGUUUUGCAGUAGUUAAAUGAAAAAUCGCAAAUAUAGAAAAAAAAAAAAAAAAAAAAAAAAAAAAAAAUCUAACCAUUUAUCCACAGAUGUUCUGCGCAGGUACAAGGUACUAACUAGGAUUUGUCUCCUCCGUGUCUCGUUUCCUUCUUGAAGCAUGCGCUCAAAUCCCACAUCUUGUGUGCUACGUAAAGACUUCCAGCAUGGCAAAAUGUGAUCACGAAGCUCGUUGGGAGAGGGAGAAUAUUACUAUUUAAGUGCCCGAUUGAUCCCAGGUUUUGACGUGGCCCAUCUUAAUAUUUUCCAUGUUUUUUUUCCCCCGUGAGGCUUUCCCUCUCAGAAUGAGGAUCUGACCACAAGGAGUGAAAAGAACAGAUCGUGCCUUCGCUUCUUCCCACACAUACUACAAAAAUGGAACAAAGCAGAGGAGUAGGGUUAGGUGGAACAGGAACAGAAGCGGCAUUUGUUGGAGAGGAAGUGUAAGAAUGUUGUUGUUCC